GCCGGGAUUGAGUGGUCCUCCCCGGAACUGGAAAGGGAUCGGGAUUGCAGUGUUGGUGAUCAGCCUCAUCUUCUCCCUGGUCAUCUUGUCCAUCAUUCUGCUGACUCCAGAGGACACCGAGCCCAGUUCCCAAGGGAAGCUGUCACUGGAUGAUCUCGGCACUCCAGAAUUCCAAAUUCUCCGUGCCCAGACACAGUGGGUCAGCGGGGACGAGUUGGUCAUUCGAGCUCGGGAUGGUCGCCUGGUGAAGCAGAACGUGACGAGCCAAGAGACCGUGACCUUGGUUGAAAACAGCACCUUUGUCAGGCUACAGGCCACCCGAUACCAGGUAUCAGCAGACUUGAACUAUGUGCUGCUGGCCUCCAAUGUUACCCAGGUA